rnacentral:rRNA from 1 species
UGAAAGCUGGGGGAGCAAACCGGAUUAGAUACCCGGGUAGUCCCAGCUGUAAACGAUGCAGACUCGAUGAUGCAUUGGCAUAUAGCCAGUGCAGUGUCGCAGGGAAGCCGUUAAGUCUGCCGCCUGGGAAGUACGUACGCAAGUAUGAAACUUAAAGGAAUUGGCGGGGGAGCACCACAAGGGGUGAAGCCUGCGGUUCAAUUGGAGUCAACGCCAGAAAUCUUACCCGGAGAGACAGCAGAAUGAAGGUCAAGCUGAAGACUUUACCAGACAAGCUGAGAGGUGGUGCAUGGCCGUCGCCAGCUCGUGCCGUGAGAUGUCCUGUUAAGUCAGGUAACGAGCGAGAUCCUCGCCACUAGUUGCUAUCAUUAUUCUCAGGAAUAGUGGGGCGAAUUAGUGGGACUGCCGUUGUUAAAACGGAGGAAGGAAGGGGCUACGGCAGGUCAGUAUGCCCCGAAACUCUGGGGCCACACGCGGGCUGCAAUGGUAGUGACAAUGAGUUCCAAA